CUCCAGUCAGAAUAAUAAAAGUAAAAACUUUCAAAUAUAUUUGUAAGAUUUUUCGACGACUUUUCGACUUGUAGCGCCAAAUAUAAUGCAAAUACAUUUGCAAAAGUAUUAUCCUGUAGUAUUUGUUCGGAUUACGGAGAAUAUGUUGUUACGUAAGGACUAGAAAAAGAUAUGUGUAUCAUGAUAUACUCUCCAUAUGAUCUGAGAAGGGACUUCACAUAGAUUGUAGAAUGAAUAUACUGUAUAGCCAUUAGGCGCUCGACUACUCCAUCUUCCCAGUGACAAUGUCCAGGUUUAGUAGACUAUCUCUUCCAUCCAAGAAGUUCUUUGUGAAGCAGUUAACAGAAGCUGUAGAGCAACAGAAUGGUGCCUUAGAUGCUAAGGUCCAUCAAUGGAGUGUAACUGCUCAUACGAAACACAUUGAUUUCAGCAUUGUCUGGAUACAAGGGACUGUUUUAUCAGUUGACAGACCAAGGGACACAUUGAUUAUAGAUGAUGACACUGGCACAAUAGAAGUUGUAGGAUUAAGUAAACUUCCACAGGGGUGCCCAACAAUAUCUAAGGGAAGCUACAUAAUGGUGAUUGGGGAGCUGAUCCAAAGUGGAAGAAAUGCCUCAAUUCAUGCCAUCAAGAUUCAAGAUAGAUGUCGGUCAAAGAAAGUUGAGAAUUCUUGGAUUCUAGAGGUCAUCGAUUCUCAACAGUUGAUCUGAACUGUGAAAUGAUGAAAUAACUUUACUAAAUUGAAAAUUCCAGUUGACUUGAUUUUAACUGGGAUUGAGCAGAGAAUGUAAAAUUUUGAAUUGAAUGUAAAAUGUCAAAAUGUCAAUGCCAUGCAAUGAGAUAGAGGAAUUUCAUACCUUCUGGUCCAAAAAAUCUUUGCGUCACCAUGCAAUGCUUAUAACUUUUGAUAAUGGAAACAGUACAAUUUCAUGCUUUCAGGGUUUGAUGCCUGAAGAUGUAUGUAAAAGGGUAAAAUAUAUGGAUUACUGAAAAAACUAGAUAUCAAUAACCACUAUAAUACUGUCUCACAAAAUGGAGAUUACAGACCAGUUAUAUUAUAUUGACAAUUGUAUAUAUUCAUUCAUACAUGUAUAUGUAAUGUUAACAUUAUUAUACCAUUGUUUUAUGUGCAGGUCAAAGAAAAUAAAUAUCAUGAGUAUC
rnacentral:misc_RNA from 1 species